rnacentral:tRNA from 1 species
UCCCUGGUAGUCUAGUGGUUAGGACUCAGUGCUUUCACUGCUGUGGCCUGGGUUCAAUCCCUGGUCUGAGAA